GACAGGAAACGCUGAAUCGUGCCUCCAUUGAAAAGCUAUUUUGAGGCUGACAGGAUCAGAGGGCACUGCUGCGGAGCCCAUGCAGCGCCAGUCCAUGGACAAAUCUGUCUCAUCUCUAGAAUAUAGACCUGCCUUUAUCGACUAGGGAAUCAAACAUGCAACGCUAUUCUUCUUUGCCUUGGUAUACAGUAGAAGCCCUGACUGAGAUGUAUGGACAGAACCCUAACUGGUUGUGGUCGAACGGGGAGCCUCUACGCCACCAAGGGCACCUGGGCAGACUUGGCUCAGCAACCCCGAGGCAAUGGGAGGAUGAGGAAGAAGGAAAAGAGGAAGAACAUGCCAUUUGGACCAGGGAUCAUCCAGCAAUCUGUUGCUAUACUACAAAUGGCCAUGGCCUCACCCAAAGUGUGUUCAGAACCACUGGGGCUGGGCUGGUACCGAAGGUCCCUUUGGCCCUGUCCACACAGACCUAGUUAGCAUCCAAAGCCAGAGUGACACAGGGCUAGAUGCCCCUGAAAUGUGGAUGGAUGUCCCCCCACACCAGCCUUCCUUGAGUGGGGCUGAUGGAGAAGAAUCAUCCCAGCGUUGUUUAAACAGUCAAUGGGGGAGCCACAGGACAGAGGGCCAUGGCUGUGCUUGUGUGCAUGGACCAAGUGAACCAGGAAGAUGUUGCCACAGUUGUGCUGGUUCCCCUCUCUUCAAUUUCAGAAUGAGGAAGACAAUAAUGGUAGGAGUCGAGGUGGAAAUAGUGGAGGAAGUAGCCUAUGAGGACACAGAGACACUUGAAGUAAUAUCAGGAGUCUAUCCAAAGUAUUUGAUGGAAAAACCAUAUUGCUGCACGAUGACCAGCUUUUCCUCACCUAAACCUGCAUUCCUUCAAAAGUUGUUUGCAAGGGAACGUUCUGUGUUUUUAAAUGUCAGCCUUGUCGUUUGAAUGUAUUUUAAACGUAUUUAAAUGUAGUUUAAAUAUUACAAUUGAUUUUAAAUACCAUUUAAAGGCCUUUUAUAUGUCAGUGUUAUGUAAGUGAUGUUACUUUAAUUUUAAAAAACAUUUACCCAAUAAAAUAAGAAAACCUUU